rnacentral:lncRNA from 1 species
UUCUCCAUUUACCCCUCCUCACCAGCACGACAGAGAGAGAAGAGAGAACAGAGGAAUGGCCGCCGCCAACGGUUGUGCUUCACAACGGGGAUGCGACGCUCAUAACAGCGGUGGAUUUUAGAAAAAAGAGAAAACGGACGGAGCACUGGUUAGGGUUUCCAAAAUCCGUUCACCAAUAUCAUCCCUCCGAUAGCACUCUAGAAAUGGUGGUUUAUUGGAUAACAAAUAAGAGGGUUAUGUAUCUUAGAACAAGAUAGAGAUGACGGUGAUGAUUCAGAUAUGGGAGUUCCGGCGACGUGUAGCAAAUCCUCCGGUCACAAAACUCAGGGCCGGCCUUGGGGGUGGGUGAUCCGCACCCCCGGCCGAGGCCUGAUUUCCAAAGGGGCACAAAGAUUCUUUUAUAUAUACAUCCAUCCGCCAAUAAAGAAUGAAGAUUUUUUAAUAGGGGCGACAUCUUUUUGAGCUAUGUUUCUGUACAAUGAUUGGCUGUCGUGUAUGCAUAUCCAGAAUUAUCCUAACUCACCUUAGCGAUGAGCAUUUGGUACUGGGCAAUGUUUUAAAAUCCGGUUUUUAUACCGUACCGGAUUGGG